rnacentral:rRNA from 1 species
GAUGAACGCUGGCGGCGUGCCUAAUACAUGCAAGUCGAGCGAACGGACGAGGAGCUUGCUUCUCUGAUGUUAGCGGCGGACGGGUGAGUAACACGUGGAUAACCUACCUAUAAGACUGGGAUAACUUCGGGAAACCGGAGCUAAUACCGGAUGAUAUUUUGAACCGCAUGGUUCAAAAGUGAAAGACGGUCUUGCUGUCACUUAUAGAUGGAUCCGCGCUGCAUUAGCUAGUUGGUAAGGUAACGGCUUACCAAGGCAACGAUGCAUAGCCGACCUGAGAGGGUGAUCGGCCACACUGGAACUGAGACACGGUCCAGACUCCUACGGGAGGCAGCAGUAGGGAAUCUUCCGCAAUGGGCGAAAGCCUGACUGAGCAACGCCGCGUGAGUGAUGAAGGUCUUCGGAUCGUAAAACUCUGUUAUUAGGGAAGAACAUAUGUGUAAGUAACUGUGCACAUCUUGACGGUACCUAACCAGAAAGCCACGGCUAACUACGU